UACGAAGGGGGCUAGCGUUGCUCGGAAUCACUGGGCGUAAAGCGCACGUAGGCGGCUUUCUAAGUCAGGGGUGAAAUCCUGGAGCUCAACUCCAGAACUGCCUUUGAUACUGGAAAGCUUGAGUUCGAGAGAGGUGAGUGGAACUGCGAGUGUAGAGGUGAAAUUCGUAGAUAUUCGCAAGAACACCAGUGGCGAAGGCGGCUCACUGGCUCGAUACUGACGCUGAGGUGCGAAAGCGUGGGGAGCAAACAGG
rnacentral:rRNA from 1 species